rnacentral:rRNA from 1 species
AUUGAACGCUGGCGGCAGGCCUAACACAUGCAAGUCGAACGAGUGGCGGACGGGUGAGUAAUGUCUGGGAAACUGCCCGAUGGAGGGGGGUAAAUACUGGAAACGGUAGCUAAUACCGCCUACCAUCGGAUGUGCCCAGAUGUGAUUAGCUUUUCGGUGAGGUAACGGCUCACCUAGGCGACGAUCCCUCGCUGGUCUGAGAGGAUGACCAGCCACACGGGAACUGAGACACGGUCCAGACUCCGAAGGGAGGCGGCAGGGGGGAAUAUUGCACAAUGGGCGAAAGCCUGAUGCAGCCAUGCCGCGUGUAUGAAGAAGGCCUUCGGGUUGUAAAGUACUUUCAGCGGGGAGGCGUUACCCGCAGAAGAAGCACCGGCUAACUCCGUGCCAGCAGCCGCGGUAAUAC